UUCCGGUUGAUCCCGCCGGACCUGACUGCUAUCGGAUUGAUACUAAGCCAUGCGAGUCUUUGUAGUAAUACAAGGCAGACGGCUCAGUAACGCGUAGUCAACCUACCCUAUGGACGGGAAUAAUCUCGGGAAACUGAGCAUAAUACCCGGCGUACCACUAUUCCUGGAAUGGUUUGUGGUUAAAAUGAUUCGUCGCCGUAGGAUGGGACUGCGACCUAUCAGCUUGUUGGUGAGGUAAAGGCCCACCAAGGCGAUUACAGGUACGGGCUCUGAGAGGAGAAGCCCGGAGAUGGGUACUGAGACACGGACCCAGGCCCUAUGGGGCGCAGCAGGCGAGAAAACUUUGCAAUGUGCGAAAGCACGACAAGGUUAAUCCGAGUGAUUUCUGCUAAAGGAAUCUUUUGCCAGUUCUAAAAAUACUAGUGAAUAAGGGGUGGGCAAGUUCUGGUGUCAGCCGCCGCGGUAAAACCAGCACCUCAAGUGGUCAGGAGGAUUAUUGGGCCUAAAGCAUCCGUAGCCUGCUCUGUAAGUUUUCGGUUAAAUCUAUAUGCUCAACGUAUAGGCUGCCGAAAAUACUGCAGUGCUAGGAAGUGGGAGAGGUAGACGGUACUUGAUAGGAAGGGGUAAAAUCCUUUGAUCUAUCGAUGACCACCUGUGGCGAAGGCGGUCUACCAGAACACGUUCGACGGUGAGGGAUGAAAGCUGGGGGAGCAAACCGGAUUAGAUACCCGGGUAGUCCCAGCUGUAAACGAUGCAGACUCGAUGAUGCAAUGGCAUAGAGCUAUUGCAGUAUCGCAGGGAAGCCGUUAAGUCUGCCGCCUGGGAAGUACGUACGCAAGUAUGAAACUUAAAGGAAUUGGCGGGGGAGCACCACAAGGGGUGAAGCCUGCGGUUCAAUUGGAUUCAACGCCGGG
rnacentral:rRNA from 1 species